GGGAAAAGGCGGAAGAGUGAAGGAAAAAUGGGAGCUUUAGGGUUUUAAUUAGGGGUGUAUAUCCCUUUAAUUAAAGUCCUAAUUAUUUCUAAUUUUAGACUGGGCCUAUUGAAGUGGGAUGUCCCAAAAAGGAAAACGAGUCUAUUGGAGUGGGACGGAGGGAGUAGUUAGAUAAUUUUUGAAUUUUUCUAUGUGAAGGGUAAUAUGGUAAGUAUAGAUAAAUUUUGAGUUGUUUAUUUUUUUUAUUUUUUUUAGUCUUAGUGAUUAGUUUUUAUUUUUACUAUUUCAAUUUGAACAUUUUUUGAAGUUUACUAAAAUUAUCUCGCCUAUUUUUCAGUCGAACUUAGUGCUGAAGUGAUCGUCUAUGUGUCCAAAUCCCUAAUUACUAAAGCGAGAUAUCAUAAUUUCACAUGGCC
rnacentral:lncRNA from 1 species